CGGCAUGCUUUACACAUGCAAGUCGAACGGCAGCGGGGGGCUUCGGCCUGCCGGCGAGUGGGCGAACGGGGUGAGUAAUGCAUCGGAACGUGCCCAUGUCGUGGGGGAUAACGUAGCGAAAGCUACGCUAAUACCGCAUACGUCCUGAGGGGAGAAAGCGGGGGAUCUUUGGACCUCGCGCGAUUGGAGCGGCCGAUGUCGGAUUAGCUAGUAGGUGAGGUAAAGGCUCACCUAGGCGACGAUCCGUAGCGGGUCUGAGAGGAUGAUCCGCCACACUGGGACUGAGACACGGCCCAGACUCCUACGGGAGGCAGCAGUGGGGAAUUUUGGACAAUGGGGGCAACCCUGAUCCAGCCAUGCCGCGUGAGUGAAGAAGGCCUUCGGGUUGUAAAGCUCUUUCGGCCGGGAAGAAAUCGUGGUCUCU
rnacentral:rRNA from 1 species